GAUCCUGGCUCAGGAUGAACGCUGGCGGCGUGCCUAACACAUGCAAGUCGAACGGAAACCAGACGCUUCGGAGACUUCGGUCAAUGUUGUUGGUUUAGUGGCGGACGGGUGAGUAACGCGUGGAUAACCUGCCUCAUACAGGGGGAUAACAGUUAGAAAUGACUGCUAAUACCGCAUAAGCGCACGGGAUCGCAUGUUCCUGUGUGAAAAACUCCGGUGGUAUGAGAUGGAUCCGCGUCUGAUUAGCUAGUUGGCGGGGUAACAGCCCACCAAGGCGACGAUCAGUAGCCGGCCUGAGAGGGUGAACGGCCACAUUGGGACUGAGACACGGCCCAAACUCCUACGGGAGGCAGCAGUGGGGGAUAUUGCACAAUGGGGGAAACCCUGAUGCAGCCGACGCCGCGUGAGUGAAGAAGUAUUUCGGUAUGUAAAGCUCUAUCAGCAGGGAAGAUAAUGACGGUACCUGACUAAGAAGCACCGGCUAAAUACGUGCCAGCAGCCGC
rnacentral:rRNA from 1 species